UUUCGCAACACGAUGAAACUGAAUCCAUAGGUUAAUGAGGCGAACCGGGGGAACUGAAACAUCUAAGUACCCCGAGGAAAAGAAAUCAACCGAGAUUCCCCCAGUAGCGGCGAGCGAACGGGGAGGAGCCCAGAGCCUGAAUCAGCAUGUGUGUUAGUGGAAGCGUCUGGAAAGGCGCGCGAUACAGGGUGACAGCCCCGUACACAAAAGCGCAUGUGCUGUGAGCUCGAUGAGUAGGGCGGGACACGUGGUAUCCUGUCUGAAUAUGGGGGGACCAUCCUCCAAGGCUAAAUACUCCUGACUGACCGAUAGUGAACCAGUACCGUGAGGGAAAGGCGAAAAGAACCCCGGCGAGGGGAGUGAAAAAGAACCUGAAACCGUGUACGUACAAGCAGUGGGAGCGAAGGUUGGGUAACACUAACUGGAGGACCGAACCGACUAAUGUUGAAAAAUUAGCGGAUGACCUGUGGCUGGGGGUGAAAGGCCAAUCAAACCGGGAGAUAGCUGGUUCUCCCCGAAAGCUAUUUAGGUAGCGCCUCGUGAAUUCAUCUCCGGGGGUAGAGCAC
rnacentral:rRNA from 1 species